CCUACGGGAGGCAGCAGUGAGGAAUAUUGGUCAAUGGGCUUACGCCUGAACCAGCCAAGUCGCGUGAGGGAAGACUGCCCUAUGGGUUGUAAACCUCUUUUGUCAGGGAGCAACGCCGGCUACGUGUAGCCGGACUGAGAGUACCUGAAGAAAAAGCAUCGGCUAACUCCGUGCCAGCAGCCGCGGUAAUACGGAGGAUGCGAGCGUUAUCCGGAUUUAUUGGGUUAAAAGGGUGCGUAGGCGGAAUGCCAAGUCAGCGGUAAAAUCGAGGGGCUCAACCUCGCUCCGCCGUUGAAACUGGCGUGCUUGAGUGGGCGAGAAGUAUGCGGAAGGCGUGGUGUAGCGGUGAAAUGCAUAGAUAUCACGCAGAACUCCGAUUGCGAAGGCAGCAUACCGGCGCCCAACUGACGCUGAAGCACGAAAGCGUGGGUAUCGAACAGGAGUAGAUACCCUUGUAGUC
rnacentral:rRNA from 1 species